CUCUCCUCUCUCCUCCGCUGCACUUCUCUCUUCUCAAGGUUACAGCUCAGAUCUGUGGACGCGAUGGGGACGCUGGUGGUUACGUUUUGCGUCUUGGCUGCGCUGGAAGUGGGAUGUCGGCCGCUCUCCUCUUCUUCCCUGAAAGAAGCAAAGAGGAGCUGCAGCAGGUCCAGAGGCAUCAUGGUCUGCUCCAGGAGCUGCAGGACCUCGCCCAGCGCGAGAGAAAACGUGAGCGAGACGAGGAAGACGAGGAUGAAGAAGAGGAGGAUGACGGAGAGGAGGAGGGAUACAACAUGGCCGACGGCGAUGAGGACGACGACUUUGACGAAGAAGACGAGGAUGAUGAAGAUGAAGACACAGACUCUGACAGAAAUGAACAGGAGGAGGUGAAGGAGAUCCAAGAUGGCCGACAGGAGGGAGAGGAGGAGGAGGAUGAGGUGAAGGAGCUGAUGAAGGAGGCCAAAAAGACGGAGGAGGUGGAGCAGAGGAGGAAGGCGGAGGUGGAGUUGUUGAUGGAGAAGAGGAAGGUGCAGAGGGAGCUCCAGGAUCUGCAGAAGAAACCCACAGCGGAGGGAGAGAAGGAGGUGCAGAGGAAGACCGAGGAGCUGAAGGAGCUGGAGGCAAAGAUGCAGAGAGUCAGAGAGGAGGAGAAGCAGAGGAAGACCGAG
ensembl:lncRNA